rnacentral:rRNA from 1 species
UACGUAGGGCGCAAGCGUUAUCCGGAAUUAUUGGGCGUAAAGAGCUCGUAGGCGGUUUGUCGCGUCUGCCGUGAAAGUCCGGGGGCUCAACUCCGGAUCUGCGGUGGGUACGGGGCAGACUAGAGUGAUGUAGGGGGAGACUGGAAUUCCUGGUGUAGCGGUGAAAUGCGCAGAUAUCAGGAGGAACACCGAUGGCGAAGGCAGGUCUCUGGGCAUUAACUGACGCUGAGGAGCGGAAAGCAUGGGGAGCGAACAGG